UACGUAGGGGGCAAGCGUUGUUCGGAAUUACUGGGCGUAAAGGGCGCGUAGGCGGCACAGCAAGUCGGAAGUGAAAGCCCGAGGCUCAACCUCGGAACUGCCUUCGAUACUGCGGGUCUCGAGUCCGGGAGAGGUGAGUGGAAUUCCUAGUGUAGCGGUGGAAUGCGUAGAUAUCAGGAGGAACACCCAUUGCGAAGGCAGCUCGCUGGGACGUUACUGACGCUGAGACGCGAAAGCGUGGGGAGCGAACAGG
rnacentral:rRNA from 1 species